rnacentral:rRNA from 1 species
UGGGGAAUAUUGCACAAUGGGCGCAAGCCUGAUGCAGCCAUGCCGCGUGUGUGAAGAAGGCCUUCGGGUUGUAAAGCACUUUCAGCGGGGAGGAAGGCGUUAAGGUUAAUAACCUUGGCGAUUGACGUUACCCGCAGAAGAAGCACCGGCUAACUCCGUGCCAGCAGCCGCGGUAAUACGGAGGGUGCAAGCGUUAAUCGGAAUUACUGGGCGUAAAGCGCACGCAGGCGGUCUGUCAAGUCGGAUGUGAAAUCCCCGGGCUCAACCGGGGAACUGCAUUCGAAACUGGCAGGCUAGAGUCUUGUAGAGGGGGGUAGAAUUCCAGGUGUAGCGGUGAAAUGCGUAGAGAUCUGGAGGAAUACCGGUGGCGAAGGCGGCCCCCUGGACAAAGACUGACGCUCAGGUGCGAAAGCGUGGGGAGCAAACAGG